rnacentral:rRNA from 1 species
AGAGGGUGCAAAAGCACGUGAAACCGCUCAGGGGUAAACGGGCGGAACCGAAGCGAACGGUCCGGGAGGGUCAGUCUUCGAUCGGUCUCGACGAGUGGCGGGGAUACGUUCGUGCGCACCGAUUUCGGUCGGCAGCGGCGGGCGGUCGUCGUUGUAAAUCGCGGCUGGUCGCGGGCGCACCCCUCCCGGGCCUGUGCCGCGACCGACUCUGGGCCGGCCCGUGGAGCACGUCGGACCAGAGGGGCUUCGGCCCUGAUGCGAGGCGUUGUUCCGUAUGCGAGCCCGGUCCGGGGUCGAGGGACGACCGUGGGACUACGGGGGUUGCGUAUUUUCGUUUACGCGGGAUGCACGGCCCCUGCCCACUCAGGGUCGGCGGCGAACGCGGACGGCUGUCCUCCCGACCCGUCUUGAAACACGGACCAAGGAGUCCGACGCGCGCGCGAGUCGCGGGGUUCCACGAAACCCGCAGGCGCAGUGAAAGCGAGGGUGGCGUCGGUCUACCCGGGCGGGAUCUCGCGGGGCUCCUCCUAGUGGGGAGUCCUCGAGCGCACCGCCGGCCCGUCCCUCGCCGUGUUGUCGGUGGGGCGGAGCGAGAGCGCGCGUGUCGGGACCCGAAAGAUGGUGAACUACGCCUGGGCAGGGCGAAGCCGGGGGAAACCCCGGUGGAGGCCCGCAGCGACUCUGACGUGCAAAUCGAUCGUCCGACCCGGGCGUAGGGGCGAAAGACCAAUCGAACCAUCUAGUAGCUGGUUCCCUCCGAAGUUUCCCUCAGGAUAGCCGGCGCCCGAUACAUACGGAGUUUCAUCCGGUAAAGCGAAUGAUUAGAGGCCUCGGGGACGAAACGUUCUCGACCUAUUCUCAAACUUUCAACGGGUGAGAAGCCCGGCCCGCCUGAACCACGGGGCCGGGUCCUUCAGAAUCCGGGUGCCGAGUGGGCCACUUUUGGUAAGCAGAACUGGCGCUGCGGGAUGAACCGAACGCCCGGUUGCGGUGCCCAACGCUGACGCUCAUCGGACCCCACAAAAGGCGUCGGUCGGUACAGACAGCAGGGCGGUGGCCAUGGAAGUCGGAAUCCGCCAAGGAGUGU